rnacentral:tRNA from 1 species
UCUAAAAUGGCAGACAGAUGACAAGAUUUAAGCUCUUGCUAGGAAGAAUAUUCUUCUUUUAGAA